rnacentral:lncRNA from 1 species
UUGGAUAUACAAAUAUGUUAGUUCUUGCCAGUGUUGCUGCUCAUCACAGGCACGGAUAAGCUUGGGAAUGUUGAGACGGGUGGAAAAUAACUUAAUGUGUUCCAUGAGCUUCUCGUAACGGUAUCUGGCAUAAAGGACGCCAAGUUCUGUGAAAAUACCCAUAUGGGCACGCUCCAAACCUAGCCCACUCUCCAUAAGGGAGAUCAAUUCAUUGAAACAUCCUCUAUUCUGGUAAUAUUCACUCACUUCCUCCAGAUCAUCCACCUGCCAAAGCAAAAGCAGAUACAACCUUUCAACAGUAUUCCAGGUAAUCUCAAUGCAAUUUAAAUAAGAAUGUUGACACAGAAAGGAUCCCUGGUAACUUAUGAAACACAAUGCUAAGUUACCUGUACGAUAAUGUUAAGCCCACAAAUCUGAGCUAAGCGGAACUCUUCAGCGUCAACACAAGCAAAGCAGACUUCUUUCCACGUUUUUGCACUAUUUGCUUUACGUGCUGCAUCAACAGCACCUUGGAACUGAUCUAGCUUCACAAGCGUACUAGCCAACUUGGCCCAGUUAGAAAUAAAAGCAAAUAUGAUCUUUGCAGCCUCAUAUAAGGCGAACUGAUUUAGCUUCACAAGUGUACUAGCCAACUUGGCCCAGUUAGAAAUAAAAGCAAAUAUGAUCUUUGCAGCCUCAUAUAAGGCUUCAUCAUACAACCGGUCACCAACAUUUUGUAGAUUAGCAGCAUUUGGCAUGAGAAUGAACUCUUCAAUGUCACUCAAUCGAUCUAUUUUAGCAUAUGCAUAGAUUAGUUCACUGUCAACCUUGGGCUCUUUUGACUUCUGCCUUACCAUCAGCAGAUACUUCACCAAAUCAUGGUAAACAUCUGCAUCCUCUGCAGCAUGAAUGACAUCCAAAAAUUGGGUGGUAUCAUCUGCACGAAUAAAUGACUCAAUAGCAUCACUAAUUAAUCCUUCUCUCAGCUGAGCUUUAGCCACUUGGCUCCAAACACGAAUGACAUCCAUAAAUUGGGUGGUAUCAUCUGCACGAAUAAACGACUCAAUAGCAUCACUGAUUAAUCCUUCUCUCAGCUGAGCUUUAGCCACUUGGCUCCAAACAGCAUCUUCUUCAACUCUGAAGGCAAACUCCACAGCCCGAU